rnacentral:rRNA from 1 species
GAUGAACGCUGGCGGCGUGCUUAACACAUGCAAGUCGAACGGUGAACACGGAGCUUGCUCUGUGGGAUCAGUGGCGAACGGGUGAGUAACACGUGAGCAACCUGCCCCUGACUCUGGGAUAAGCGCUGGAAACGGCGUCUAAUACUGGAUAUGUGACGUGACCGCAUGGUCUGCGUUUGGAAAGAUUUUUCGGUUGGGGAUGGGCUCGCGGCCUAUCAGCUUGUUGGUGAGGUAAUGGCUCACCAAGGCGUCGACGGGUAGCCGGCCUGAGAGGGUGACCGGCAAAAAGGGGAGUGAGAAAGGGCCCAGACCCCUAGGGGGGGCAGAGGGGGGGAAAAUUGAAAAAGGGGGGAAAGCCGGAUGAAGAAACCCCGGGGGGGGAAAGAGGGCCUUGGGGUUGAAAACCUUUUUUGGAAGGAAAGAAGGGAAAGGGAGGGUACCGGCAGAAAAAGCGCCGGCUAACUACGG